AUCUUUCUGUCUCUUUCUACGUUGACUGUUCUUAUUCCACUGGUUUAUUUAGCAGGACUGUUCCACUCAGCCUCUGUAGAAGAAAACUUCCCACAGGGCUGCACUUGCACAGCUAGCCUUUGCUUUUACAGCCUGCUCUUGCCUAUUACCAUACCGGUGUAUGUAUUCUUCCACCUUUGGACCUGGAUGGUUAUUAAACUCUUCAUGCAUAACUGA
rnacentral:lncRNA from 1 species